rnacentral:lncRNA from 1 species
UCAUCCCUAUCAUACCUCUCAUCACGCACCGGCCCACCAAGACCACACAUGCACACUCUCGCUUCAUCCUGAGGCCCCGCCCCAAUAGCAAACACAAUCCUCAUAUCGAUCGUUACAUGGCCCUGUGCACUACCGCACCACAACGUUAAAUACACACCAUUAUUCCCUCGGUAACGACCAUUGAAUGCCCACACCGAACUCCACCAACGUCGGCCACACGACCUCCCACACACCUGACUAAGGAAUACCCCAUCGACCACUGAGUGGCCAUAUAUACAACAUGUCACCACGCAUCAUAUCGACAUAUCCAUAUCUGCAAGCAGCGUGCCACUGAUUUAUACAUCAGUAUACCAGAAUCCUCCAACACCAGCCAAGAGGCCUCCCACAUCUAAGUACCUCUACAUACACAUACCACAGAGUACCCAACCUACCCCCUGUAUCACGUAAACCUCACUCCAUC